rnacentral:rRNA from 1 species
CACGUAGGGUGCGAGCGUUGUCCGGAAUUAUUGGGCGUAAAGAGCUCGUAGGCGGUGUGUCGCGUCGGCCGUGAAAACCUGCAGCUUAACUGUGGGCUUGCGGUCGAUACGGGCAUCACUGGAGUUCGGCAGGGGAGACUGGAAUUCCUGGUGUAGCGGUGAAAUGCGCAGAUAUCAGGAGGAACACCGGUGGAGAAGGCGGGUCUCUGGGCCGAUACUGACGCUGAGGAGCGAAAGCGUGGGGAGCGAACAGG